rnacentral:rRNA from 1 species
GUACACUCCUACGGGAGGCAGCAGUGGGGAAUAUUGGACAAUGGGCGCAAGCCUGAUCCAGCCAUGCCGCGUGAGUGAUGAAGGCCCUAGGGUUGUAAAGCUCUUUCACCGGUGAAGAUAAUGACGGUAACCGGAGAAGAAGCCCCGGCUAACUUCGUGCCAGCAGCCGCGGUAAUACGAAGGGGGCUAGCGUUGUUCGGCUUUACUGGGCGUAAAGCGCACGUAGGCGGACUAUUAAGUCAGGGGUGAAAUCCCGGGGCUCAACCCCGGAACUGCCUUUGAUACUGGUAGUCUUGAGUUCGAGAGGGGGGAGUGGAAUUCCGAGUGUAGAGGUGAAAUUCGUAGAUAUUCGGAGGAACACCAGUGGCGAAGGCGGCUCACUGGCUCGAUACUGACGCUGAAGUGCGAAAGCGUGGGGAGCAAACAGGAUGAGAUACCCCAGUAGUCCCAU